AACACGUUCCAUUAAAUGUAUGAAUGACAUUUUUCUAUCACGUUGUACAAAAGAGAAAGACUUUAUUAUAAUUUCUUUGUUGCAAAAUUAUCCCAAAUGCCAAAUGUAAAAUCAAGAAAAAAAUCUUGUACAUAAUCUGUUGUUUCAACAAAAGGGCCGCAUAUAUAGGAGGAACUGCCAUGGAAACCUUCCAUGUUCCCUGAGAAGCUGGUCAUAUUCAUACAUAAGUCCUAUAGCAGUUUUCAGAGUAAACCAGCCUUGUUGUUUCAGGAAAUACAAGUUCGAGGAAAUUGAAGUGGGUUCUCAAGACUAAUUAAUUGGAGGAUUUAGCUACCAUGGCAACUCAAGAACAUACCCAGAGAAAUGGAGAUUAUAUUUCAGUUUCUAUCGAAGAUGAUGAUGAAGCAUUGGCUAAAUCCAUGGAAGCAAAGCUUUAUGAUGACUCACCCCUGUCUGCAAAGUGUUCCAUCUUCAGAAUUCCUGAGGUAUUUCGCAGACACAACGAAAAAGCGUACGAGCCGGACGCUAUUGCCAUCGGACCCUUCCAUCACAAAAAACCAAGCUUGCAGCCAAUGCAAAAGGUGAAACAAUGGUACUUACGAACCCUUCUCUCCCGUUUGAAUAUAAGCAUGCUUAGCUUGGUAAAAGGCAUUAAGGAAUUUGAGAAACGUGCACGUGACUGUUAGCAAGAACCAAUUGGUCUUGAUGAGAAUGAAUUCAUAGAAAUGCUAAUCAUUGAUGGUUGUUUCUUGGUCGAACUUUUUCGUAAGGAGGCCUUUCCUGAAUUAAGAAGCAUGGAUGAUCCUAUAUUCAACAUGGCUUGCGUGGUUGGAUUUUUACUUCAUGAUUCGUUGCUUCUUGAAAAUCAGCUUCCUUGGUUUGUUCUUCACUACUUGUUCAACAGGAUUGUGGAAAGGGACAGAAGAACCUGGUCCCUCACUGAGCUUGUCCUCAGAUUCUUCGAAUCCAGUGUCUCACCAACUAACCAUCCCAAAUCCACCCCAGGAUCGCGGGUAGAAACCUUGCACAUUGUGGAUCUGAUAAGAAGUGUUCUGAUUUCACCGUUCCGAGAUGACCCAAUUCCGGAGAGGCCAAAAUUCAUUCCCCCUGUUUCUCUAAAGCCACAACUCAUUCCCCCUGUUUCUCUAAAGCCCGAGAAGCCGGAGGAGCCGGAGGAGCCGGAGAAGCCGAAGGAGCCGGAGAGGCCAAAGCCGCCGGAGAAUCCGGGGAGGCCACGACUCAUUGAGGAGCCUCCGAUGAUGCCAAAGAAGCCUCAUGAAAUGCCGGAGAGGCCUCAUAUAGUGCCGGAGAGGUCACAACUCAUUCCCUGUGUGACUCAUCUUAUGGAGGCAGGAGUGAAAUUCACCAAGAGCUCCUCAAAUAACAUGGUGGAUAUAGAGUUUGAAGACGGGACUUUCAAAAUUCCACUACUUUUAAUCCAUGAGACUACAGAGUCAAUCUUCAGAAACCUGAUUGCUUUCGAGCAAUGCUAUCACAGUUGCAAAGAUAAGAUCACAUCUUAUGCAAUUCUGUUGGAUAACCUAAUCAAUACCAGCAAAGAUGUGGAAAUUCUUAGUGAUAAAGGGGUUAUUGAUAACUGGUUGAGCGCUGAAGAUGCUUCUCAGUACUUCAACAGGCUCAACAAUGACACUCUUGUGACCAAUUUCUUCUACAGAGAACUCUGCAAGGAAGUGAAUGACUAUUAUCGGACGAAAUGGCACAGAUGGAGAGCAAUUCUGAUGCGCGAUUAUUUUACAACCCCAUGGACUAUCAUUUCUCUUGUUGCUGCCUUAAUCCUUUUGGUUCUUACCUUCUUGCAGACUCUCUACUCAAUUAAGUAAUCUUAAUGAUGUAGGACAAUAUAUAAUUUAGGAUUAUGUUUACCAUAUUUUAAUUUUCAUUAUUUUUAGUAUAAUUUAAUUUCUUAGUCCUUAUGUUCUGGUGUUAAAUGUGAAUUAGAGUUAAUAAGGCUGUUCCUAAAAUUAUGUGUAAUUAUUUGAACCUUAAUAAAGAGGCAUCUUAGAAUGUUAUUUUCAUCAUUCCUAACAUUAAUAAAAAGUUCGUUUUCUCUC